GACGAACGCUGGCGGCGUGCUUCAUACAUGCAAGUCGAACGAGAAGCUGACUUCGGUCAGUGGAAAGUGGCGGACGGGUGAGUAAUAUGUAGGAAAUCUGCCCUAGAGAGGGGGACAACAGAGGGAAACUUCUGCUAAUACCCCAUAUGAGCGUAGCUGAAAUGCUAUUCUUGAAAACUCCGGUGCUCUAGGAUGAGCCUGCAUCUGAUUAGCUUGUUGGUGGGUAAUGGCCUACCAAGGCGACGAUCAGUAGCUGGUUUGAGAGGAUGAUCAGCCACAAUGGGACUGAGACACGGCCCAUACUCCUACGGGAGGCAGCAGUGGGGAAUAUUGGACAAUGGGCGAAAGCCUGAUCUAGCAAUGCCGCGUGAGUGAUGAAGGCCUUAGGGUUGUAAAGCUCUUUUACCAGGGAUGAUAAUGACAGUACCUGGAGAAUAAGCUCCGGCUAACUCCGUGCCAGCCGCCGCUGUAA
rnacentral:rRNA from 1 species